AUUGAACGCUGGCGGCAGGCCUAACACAUGCAAGUCGAACGAGUGGCGGACGGGUGAGUAAUGGCUGGGAAACUGCCUGAUGGAGGGGGAUAACUACUGGAAACGUUAGCUAAUACCGCAUACCAUCAGAUGUGCCCAGAUGGGAUUAGGGAGUUGGUGGGGUAACGGCUCACCAAGGCGACGAUCCCUAGCUGGUCUGAGAGGAUGACCAGCCACACUGGAACGGAGACACGGUCCAGACUCCUACGGUAGGCACCAGUGGGGAAUAUUGGACAAUGGGCGCAAGCCUGAUGCAGCCCGGCCGCGUGGAGGAAGAAGGCCUUCGGGUUGUAAAGUACUUUCAUCGGGGAGGCGUUACCCGCAGAAGAAGCACCGGCUAACUCCGUGCCAGCAGCCGCGGUAAUAC
rnacentral:rRNA from 1 species